AAAUUGAAGAGUUUGAUCAUGGCUCAGAUUGAACGCUGGCGGCAGGCCUAACACAUGCAAGUCGAACGGUAACAGGAAGAAGCUUGCUUCUUUGCUGACGAGUGGCGGACGGGUGAGUAAUGUCUGGGAAACUGCCUGAUGGAGAGGGAUAACUACUGGAAACGGUAGCUAAUACCGCAUAACGUCGCAAGACCAAAGAGGGGGACCUUCGGGCCUCUUGCCAUCGGAUGUGCCCAGAUGGGAUUAGCUAGUAGGUGGGGUAACGGCUCACCUAGGCGACGAUCCCU
rnacentral:rRNA from 1 species